AGCAGCCGCGGUAAUUCCAGCUCCAAUAGCGUAUAUUAAAGUUGUUGCAGUUAAAAAGCUCGUAGUUGAAUUUCGGGAUCAAUGCGUCGGUCGUGCCUUCGGUACGUACUAGCGUCAUUGAUUCCUCCCUUCUGAAGAACCGUGAUGUCAUUAAUUUGGUGUUACGGGAAAUCAGGACUGUUACCUUGAAAAAUUAGAGUGUUUAAAGCAGGCUAACGCUUGAAUACAUUAGCAUGGAAUAAUGAAAUAGGACGUUCGAACCUAUUUUGUUGGUUUCUAGGAUCGACGUAAUGAUUAAUAGGGAUAGUUGGGGGCAUUAGUAUUCAAUUGUCAGAGGUGAAAUUCUUGGAUUUAUUGAAGACUAACUACUGCGAAAGCAUUUGCCAAGGAUGUUUUCAUUAAUCAAGAACGAAAGUUAGGGGAUCGAAGACGAUCAGAUACCGUCGUAGUCUUAACCAUAAACUAUGCCGACUAGG
rnacentral:rRNA from 1 species